rnacentral:rRNA from 1 species
CACCGCGGUUAUACGAGAGACCCAAGUUGACAGGCUUUCGGCGUAAAGAGUGGUUAAACUGAUUUUUAACUAAAGCCGAAACUCCCUCAGAACUGUUAUACGUACCCGAGGGUAAGAAGCCCCCUUACGAAAGUAGCUUUAAUACUUUUGACCCCACGAAAGCUGCGAAA